rnacentral:tRNA from 1 species
GCGCUGAUAGUAUACUGGUUAGCAUAGCUGCCUUCCAAGAAGUUGACCUGGGUUUGAUUCCUGGCCAACGCA